rnacentral:rRNA from 1 species
AGAGUUUGAUCCUGGCUCAGGAUGAACGCUGGCGGCGUGCCUAAUACAUGCAAGUCGAACGCUUUGUUUUUAAUUGAUAUGAAGAGCUUGCUCUGAUUUGAUUUUAUCUGACAAAGAGUGGCGAACGGGUGAGUAACACGUGGGUAACCUACCUCUUAGCAGGGGAUAACAUUUGGAAACAAGUGCUAAUACCGUAUAACACUAACAACCGCAUGGUUGUUAGUUGAAAGAUGGUUCUGCUAUCACUAAGAGAUGGACCCGCGGUGCAUUAGCUAGUUGGUAAGGUAAUGGCUUACCAAGGCGAUGAUGCGUAGCCGAGUUGAGAGACUGAUCGGCCACAAUGGGACUGAGACACGGCCCAUACUCCUACGGGAGGCAGCAGUAGGGAAUCUUCCACAAUGGGCGCAAGCCUGAUGGAGCAACGCCGCGUGUGUGACGAAGGGUUUCGGCUCGUAAAACACUGUUAUAAGAGAGGAACGACAUUGAGAGUAACUGUUCAGUGUGUGACGGUAUCUUAUCAGAAAGGAACGGCUAAAUACGUGCCAGCAGCCGCGGUAAUACGUAUGUUCCAAGCGUUAUCCGGAUUUAUUGGGCGUAAAGCGAGCGCAGACGGUUAUUUAAGUCUGAAGUGAAAGCCCUCAGCUCAACUGAGGAAGGGCUUUGGAAACUGGAUAACUUGAGUGCAGUAGAGGAAAGUGGAACUCCAUGUGUAGCGGUGAAAUGCGUAGAUAUAUGGAAGAACACCGGUGGCGAAAGCGGCUUUCUGGACUGUAACUGACGUUGAGGCUCGAAAGUGUGGGUAGCAAACAGGAUUAGAUACCCUGGUAGUCCACACCGUAAACGAUGAGUGCUAGAUGUUCGAGGGUUUCCGCCCUUGAGUGUCGCAGCU